rnacentral:rRNA from 1 species
GACAGAGGGGGCGUAGCGUUGCUCGGAAUCACUGGGCGUAAAGCGCACGUAGGCGGCUUUUUAAGUCAGGGGUGAAAUCCUGGAGCUCAACUCCAGAACUGCCUUUGAUACUGAGAAGCUCGAGUCCGGGAGAGGUGAGUGGAACUGCGAGUGUAGAGGUGAAAUUCGUAGAUAUUCGCAAGAACACCAGUGGCGAAGGCGGCUCACUGGCCCGGUACUGACGCUGAGGUGCGAAAGCGUGGGGAGCAAACAG